GGGGCUAGGAUGAAAAAUUUUGUCCUGCAUUUUUUUUUUAGUUGUAAUCUCUGUCCUGCCUUUUUAUUUUUCACUCUAUUCGGUCCUGCCUUUUUAUUUUUCACUCUAUUCGGUCCUGCCUUUUUUUUAUUAGUUUAAUCCUGACUUUUUUUACCUAAAUUGUCAUCCUGCCUUUUUUUUGCAAGGUGUCUCAUCCUGCCUUUUUUUUU
rnacentral:lncRNA from 1 species